UUUUGAGGAUAAGCCUGUCCCAUGCAAUAUUUGGGACAGGUUUAUACUAAAA
rnacentral:pre_miRNA from 1 species